rnacentral:rRNA from 1 species
CGCUGGCGGCGUGCCUAAUACAUGCAAGUCGAACGGUCUUUCUAUGGAAGCUUGCUCCACUGAGAAGAUAGUGGCGAACGGGUGAGUAACACGUGGGUAACCUGCCCAUAAGAGGGGGGAUAACAUCCGGAAACGGGUGCUAAUACCGCAUAGUUUUCUUGAUCGCAUGAUUGAGAAAGGAAAGACGGCCUUUGUGCUGUCGCUUAUGGAUGGACCCGCGGCGUAUUAGUUAGUUGGUGAGGUAACGGCUCACCAAGACGAUGAUACGUAGCCGACCUGAGAGGGUGAUCGGCCACAUUGGGACUGAGACACGGCCCAAACUCCUACGGGAGGCAGCAGUAGGGAAUCUUCCGCAAUGGACGAAAGUCUGACGGAGCAACGCCGCGUGAGUGAAAGAAGGUUUUCGGAUCGUAAAACUCUGUUGUCAGAGAAGAACAAGUUGGAGAGUAACUGCUCCAGCCUUGACGGUAUCUGACCAGAAAGCCACGGCUAACUACGUGCCAGCCGCCGC